rnacentral:rRNA from 1 species
CGUAGGGACCAAGCGUUGUCCGGAUUCAUUGGGCGUAAAGAGCUCGUAGGCGGUUCAGUAAGUCGGGUGUGAAACCUCCAGGCUCAACCUGGAGACGCCACCCGAUACUGCUGUGACUAGAGUCCAGUAGGGGAGCGUGGAAUUCCUGGUGUAGCGGUGAAAUGCGCAGAUAUCAGGAGGAACACCAGCGGCGAAGGCGGCGCUCUGGGCUGGAACUGACGCUGAGGAGCGAAAGCGUGGGGAGCGAACAGGAUUAGAUACCCUGGUAGUCCACGCCGUAAACGUUGGGUACUAGGUGUGGGGUCUUAUCAACGGAUUCCGUGCCGAAGCUAACGCAUUAAGUACCCCGCCUGGGGAGUACGGCCGCAAGGCUA